rnacentral:rRNA from 1 species
AACGAACGCUGGCGGCAUGCCUAACACAUGCAGGUCGAACGAGACCUUCGGGUCUAGUGGCGCACGGGUGCGUAACGCGCGGGAACCUGCCCUUAGGUUCGGAAUAACUCCCCGAAAGGGGUGCUAAUACCGGAUAAUGUCUUCGGACCAAAGAUUUAUCGCCUUUGGAUGGGCCCGCGUUGGAUUAGCUAGUUGGUAGGGUAAAAGCCUACCAAGGCGACGAUCCAUAGCUGGUCUGAGAGGAUGAUCAGCCACACUGGGACUGAGACACGGCCCAGACUCCUACGGGAGGCAGCAGUGGGGAAUAUUGGACAAUGGGCGAAAGCCUGAUCCAGCAAUGCCGCGUGAGUGAUGAAGGCCUUAGGGUUGUAAAGCUCUUUUACCCGGGAUGAUAAUGACAGUACCGGGAGAAUAAGCUCCGGCUAACUCCGUG